ACCUGGCUGGCUCAGUGGGGAGAGCAUGAGCCUCUUGAUCUCGGGGUCGUGAGUUCAAGUCCCAUGUUGGGCA
rnacentral:tRNA from 1 species